rnacentral:misc_RNA from 1 species
GAUGAAGAACGUAGCGAAAUGCGAUAAGUAAUGUGAAUUGCAGAAUUCAGUGAAUCAUCGAAUCUUUGAACGCACAUUGCGCCCCUUGGUAUUCCGAGGGACAUGCCUGUUCGAGCGUCAUUAUAACCCCUCAAGCUCAGCUUGGUGUUGGGGCCUGCUGCACUGGCAGCCCUUAAAAUCAGUGGCGGCGCCAUCUGGCUCUAAGCGUAGUAAUUCUUCUCGCUAUGGAGUCCUGGUGGAUGCUUGCCAUCAACCCCCAAUUUUUCUAUGGUUGACCUCGGAUCAGGUAGGGAUACCCGCUGAACUUAAGCAUAUCAAUAAGCGGAGGA